AUUGAACGCUGGCGGAAUGCUUUACACAUGCAAGUCGAACGGCAGCACGGGGGCAACCCUGGUGGCGAGUGGCGAACGGGUGAGUAACACAUCGGAACGUGCCCAGUCGUGGGGGAUAACGUAGCGAAAGCUACGCUAAUACCGCAUACGAUCUACGGAUGAAAGCGGGGGAUCGCAAGACCUCGCGCGAUUGGAGCGGCCGAUGGCAGAUUAGGUAGUUGGUGGGGUAAAGGCUCACCAAGCCGACGAUCUGUAGCUGGUCUGAGAGGACGACCAGCCACACUGGGACUGAGACACGGCCCAGACUCCUACGGGAGGCAGCAGUGGGGAAUAUUGGACAAUGGGCGAAAGCCUGAUCCAGCCAUGCCGCGUGAGUGAUGAAGGCCUUCGGGUCGUAAAGAC
rnacentral:rRNA from 1 species